GUAGGUGGCAAGCGUUGUCCGGAAUUAUUGGGCGUAAAGCGCGCGCAGGCGGUCCUUUAAGUCUGAUGUGAAAGCCCACGGCUCAACCGUGGAGGGUCAUUGGAAACUGAGGGACUUGAGUACAGAAGAGGAAAGCGGAAUUCCACGUGUAGCGGUGAAAUGCGUAGAGAUGUGGAGGAACACCAGUGGCGAAGGCGGCUUUCUGGUCUGUAACUGGCGCUGAGGCGCGAAAGCGUGGGGAGCAAACAGGAUUAGAUACCCUGGUAGUCCACGCCGUAAACGAUGAGUGCUAAGUGUUAGGGGGUUUCCGCCCCCCUUAGUGCUGCAGCUAACGCAUUAAGCACUCCGCCUGGGAUACGACCGCAAGGUUG
rnacentral:rRNA from 1 species